GCAAGUCGAGGGGUAACAGGGAAGCUUGCUUUCGCUGACGACCGGCGAACGGGUGCGUAACACGUAUGCAACCUACCUUCCACUAAGGUAUAGCCCAGAGAAAUUUGGAUUAAUCCCCCAUAGAACCAAGAGUCACAUGGCUCAAUGGUCAAAGGAUUCCGGUGGAAGAUGGGCAUGCGUCCCAUUAGCUAGUAGGUGAGGUAACGGCUCACCUAGGCUACGAUGGGUAGGGGGUCUGAGAGGAUGAUC
rnacentral:rRNA from 1 species